ACCCGCUGAAUUUAAGCAUAUAAGUAAGCGGAGGAUAAGAAACUAAAUAGGAUUCCCUCAGUAAGGGCGACUGAACAGGGAUGAGCUCAGCAUGGAAAUCGGGGCCUGUGGCCUUGAAUUGUAGUCUCGAGUUGUACUGCCAACGGAGGCGCAGAUGUAAGCCUCUUGGAAAAGAGCAUCAACGAGGGUGAGAAUCCCGUUUGUCAUCUGCAGUCCCCCGUGCACGGCGUACUUCUAAAGAGUCACGUUCCUCGGGAUUGGAGCGCAAAGUGGGUGGUAAAUUUCAUCUAAAGCUAAAUAUAGGUUCGAGACCGAUAGCAAACAAGUACCAUGAGGGAAAGGUGAAAAGGACUUUGAAAAGAGAGUUAAAAGUGCCUGAAAUUGCUGAAAGGGAAGCGAAUGGAACCAGUGCUUCUUGGCAAGAUUGGUGCGUGCUAAUGUGAUUGGCUGCUGCCUCAGCGCAAGCGUGGUAGUGGUUUUUGAUCAGGAUGUGCGUGUUGUUUCUUGCCUUGUGUGUCAACGUCAGUUCUCAAUCGAGGAAAACGCCAGGGACAUGGUAGCUCUGCUGCGGUGGAGUGAAUGUGCUUGGUUGAACUCAUUUGUGGACUGGUUCUUGCGUGUCUGGUUGCAGUGUUCUUUGCUUUCCAGCUCUGCCUGUGAAGGGGAUCUCCUCUUCCAGCUGAACUGGGGAACUAGGGCAUCUCCCUGACACAACGACGCUGACUAAAUGGUUCUAUUCGACCCGUCUUGAAACACGGACCAAGG
rnacentral:rRNA from 1 species